AGAGUUUGAUCCUGGCUCAGAACGAACGCUGGCGGCGUGGAUAAGACAUGCAAGUCGAACGAGAGAAUUGCUAGCUUGCUAAUAAUUCUCUAGUGGCGCACGGGUGAGUAACACGUGAGUAACCUGCCCCCGAGAGCGGGAUAGCCCUGGGAAACUGGGAUUAAUACCGCAUAGUAUCGAAAGAUUAAAGCAGCAAUGCGCUUGGGGAUGGGCUCGCGGCCUAUUAGUUAGUUGGUGAGGUAACGGCUCACCAAGGCGAUGACGGGUAGCCGGUCUGAGAGGAUGUCCGGCCACACUGGAACUGAGACACGGUCCAGACACCUACGGGUGGCAGCAGUCGAGAAUCAUUCACAAUGGGGGAAACCCUGAUGGUGUGACGCCGCGUGGGGGAAUGAAGGUCUUCGGAUUGUAAACCCCUGUCAUGUGGGAGCAAAUUAAAAAGAUAGUACCACAAGAGGAAGAGACGGCUAACUCUGUGCCAGCAGCCGCGGUAAUACAGAGGUCUCAAGCGUUGUUCGGAAUCACUGGGCGUAAAGCGUGCGUAGGCUGUUUCGUAAGUCGUGUGUGAAAGGCGCGGGCUCAACCCGCGGACGGCAACAUGAUACUGCGAGACUAGAGUAAUGGAGGGGGAACCGGACUUCUCGGUGUAGCAGUGAAAUGCGUAAAUAUCGAGAGGAAACACUCGUGGGGAAGGCGGGUUCCUGGACAUUAACUGACGCUGAGGGCACGAAGCCCAGGGGAGCGAAAAGGGAUUAGAUUACCCCUGUAGUCCUGGCAGUAAACGGUGCACGCUUGGUGUGCGGGGAAUCGACCCCCUGCGUGCCGGAGCUAACGCGUUAAGCGUGCCGCCUGGGGAGUACGGUCGCAAGAUUAAAACUCAAAGAAAUUGACGGGGACCCGCACAAGCGGUGGAGUAUGUGGCUUAAUUCGAUGCAACGCGAAGAACCUUACCUGGGCUUGACAUGUAAUGAACAACAUGUGAAAGCAUGCGACUCUUCGGAGGCGUUACACAGGUGCUGCAUGGCCGUCGUCAGCUCGUGUCGUGAGAUGUUUGGUUAAGUCCAGCAACGAGCGCAACCCCUGUUGCCAGUUACCAGCACGUAAAGGUGGGGACUCUGGCGAGACUGCCCAGAUCAACUGGGAGGAAGGUGGGGACGACGUCAGGUCAGUAUGGCCCUUAUGCCCAGGGCUGCACACGUACUACAAUGCCCAGUACAGAGGGGGCCGAAGCCGCGAGGCGGAGGAAAUCCUAAAAACUGGGCCCAGUUCGGACUGUAGGCUGCAACCCGCCUACACGAAGCCGGAAUCGCUAGUAAUGGCGCAUCAGCUACGGCGCCGUGAAUACGUUCCCGGGUCUUGCACUCACCGCCCGUCA
rnacentral:rRNA from 1 species